CAGGUCCCUGCCACGUGUGUGGAUUAACAUGGGACAGGGCCUCUGCUGUGCCCCUGGCCCUCUGGCCUGCCUCCAUCUGGCCUCCUGCAGCUCUCUGCAGAUGGGUACCUGCAAACUCUGAUCUUUGGUGAAGAUAGAACUGUAACAAACUUUAAGAACAGUAAAGCAAUUGAUCCCUGGGCUAAAAUAGGAAAACAGCAUAAUCCCUCAUUUAAAUGAUCAAUGGAAAGGAAUGACUGGGAGAAAACGUUGAUCGCUGCCACAGCCCUAAUCAUCCAAAGUGUUAGUGCAAUUCAGAGACGGAAGGAGGGGGAGAGAUUUACAACAUGAGGAGCUCCCAAGGAAGGAGGGGGAAAGUCAUUAGCAGAAGGCUGUUCUUUGUACAGACUCUCCAUUUGGGAAGGAAGGAAGACAUUCCAGUAAAGGAUCUGUGUGUGGGUGCAGCAUGGCCCAUCAGUG
rnacentral:lncRNA from 1 species